AACGAACGCUGGCGGCAUGCCUAACACAUGCAAGUCGAACGAGACCUUCGGGUCUAGUGGCGCACGGGUGCGUAACGCGUGGGAAUCUGCCCUUGGGUUCGGAAUAACAGUUGGAAACGACUGCUAAUACCGGAUGAUGACGUAAGUCCAAAGAUUUAUCGCCCAGGGAUGAGCCCGCGUAGGAUUAGCUAGUUGGUGGGGUAAAGGCCUACCAAGGCGACGAUCCUUAGCUGGUCUGAGAGGAUGAUCAGCCACACUGGGACUGAGACACGGCCCAGACUACUACGGGAGGCAGCAGUGGGGAAUAUUGGAAAAUGGGCGAAAGCCUGAUCCAGCAAUGCCGCGUGAGUGAUGAAGGCCUUAGGGUAGUAAAGCUCUUUUACCCGGGAUGAUAAUGACAGUACCGGGAGAAUAAGCCCCGGCUAACUCCGUG
rnacentral:rRNA from 1 species